rnacentral:rRNA from 1 species
UAGUUGGUGGGUUGCCUUGUCAGGUUGAUUCCGGUAACGAACGAGACCUCAACCUGCUAAAUAGUCACGUCCGGUUUUUUCCGGUCGGCCGACUUCUUAGAGGGACUAUUGGCGACUAGCCAAUGGAAGUUUGAGGCAAUAACAGG